rnacentral:rRNA from 1 species
UACGUAGGGUGCAAGCGUUAAUCGGAAUUACUGGGCGUAAAGCGUGCGCAGGCGGUUAUGUAAGACAGAUGUGAAAUGCCCGGGCUUAACCUGGGAACUGCAUUUGUGACUGCAUGGCUAGAGUGUGUCAGAGGGGGGUAGAAUUCCACGUGUAGCAGUGAAAUGCGUAGAGAUCCGGAGGAACACCAAAGGCGAAGGCAGUGUCCUGGGGAGUACCUGACGCUCAGGUGCGAAAGCCAGGGGAGCGAACGGG